GAUGAAGAACGCAGCGAAAUGAGAUACGUAAUGUGAAUUGCAGAAUUCAGUGAAUCAUCGAAUCUUUGAACGCACAUUGCGCCCGCCAGCACUCUGGCGGGCAUGCCUGUUCGAGCGUCAUUUCAACCAUCAAGCCCCAGGCUUGCGUUGGAGCCCUGCGGCUGCCGCAGCCUCCUAAAAGCAGUGGCGGGCUCGCUAUCACACCGAGUGCAGUAGAUUACUCUUCGCUCAGGGCGUGCAGCGGGUUCCGGCCGUGAAACCCCCUACUUUUAAAGGUUGACCUCGGAUCAGGCAGGAAUACCCGCUGAACUUAAGCAUAUCAAUAAGCGGAGGA
rnacentral:misc_RNA from 1 species